ensembl:snRNA U6 U6 spliceosomal RNA
GCGCUCGCAUCAGCAGCCCAUGUGCUGAAGUUGGAGCAACACAGGGAGGAGCAGCGUGGCCCCUGAGCAGGGAUGACACCCGUUUGUGAAGCAUUCCAUGUUCUU